GCCCGGCUAGCUCAGUCGGUAGAGCACGAGACUCUUAAUCUUCGGGGUCGGGGGUUCGAGCCUCACUUUGGGCG
rnacentral:tRNA from 1 species